CAGGGUCUCACUGUAGCCUGGACUGACCUGGAACUCACUCACUAUAGCCCCAGGUUUGGCCUCGAUUUCACAGGGAUGCUCUUGCUGAGAUUAAGAUCUUCUUGAAUAUCUGGGCCAUGAGAGUAAGUCACAACAAAGACGAGCAGGCCACGUUCCUUGAGAAGCUUCUCCUUUCAUAUGCCAGUGACUUCUGGGAUGACUCAACAGGCA